rnacentral:rRNA from 1 species
GACGAACGCUGGCGGCGUGCCUAAUACAUGCAAGUAGAACGCUGAAGGAGGAGCUUGCUCUUCUGGAUGAGUUGCGAACGGGUGAGUAACGCGUAGGUAACCUGCCUGGUAGCGGGGGAUAACUAUUGGAAACGAUAGCUAAUACCGCAUAACAGUAGAUGUUGCAUGACAUUUACUUAAAAGGUGCAAUUGCAUCACUACCAGAUGGACCUGCGUUGUAUUAGCUAGUUGGUGGGGUAACGGCUCACCAAGGCGACGAUACAUAGCCGACCUGAGAGGGUGAUCGGCCACACUGGGACUGAGACACGGCCCAGACUCCUACGGGAGGCAGCAGUAGGGAAUCUUCGGCAAUGGACGGAAGUCUGACCGAGCAACGCCGCGUGAGUGAAGAAGGGUUUCGGAUCGGAAAGCUCUGUUGUAAGAGAAGAACGAGUGUGAGAGUGGAAAGUUCACACUGUGACGGUACCUGACCAGAAAGGGACGGCUAACUACGUG